CUGGGCUCGAACGGCUGGUCAACGAUCGUGGAAACACGGUUACUCCGCAAGGGGGUCCAGUCGAGGUGCUGCAUGGCUGUCGUCAGCUCGUGUCGUGAGAUGUUGGGUUAAGUCCCGCAACGAGCGCAACCCUCGUCCUGUGUUGCCAUCAUUCAGUUGGGAACUCGCAGGAGACCGCCAGCGAUAAGCUGGAGGAAGGUGGGGAUGACGUCAAGUCCUCAUGGCCUUUAUGUCCAGGGCUACACACGUGCUACAAUGGCCGGUACAAUGCGCUGCUAAGUCGCAAGACGGAGCCAAUCGCAAAAAACCGGUCUCAGUUCGGAUUGCAGGCUGCAACUCGCCUGCAUGAAGCUGGAAUCGCUAGUAAUGGCUAUCAGAACGAUGCCGUGANAUACGUUCCCGGG
rnacentral:rRNA from 1 species